rnacentral:lncRNA from 1 species
AAAACCAGAACAACGAUCAAAAUCAUUUCCUCUCUCUCUUCCGACCACCUGAUUCCUAUGGCCUCACCGGAGCGACGCGGUGAUCGGCGGCCAACCACCGUCGAACCAAAAAAAACAAACACAACCCUCCUCUAAUCUACCCCCUAAGCACGAAUCCUCACCUUAUUUCCCUCUCAAAAACUGCCGAUCUUUCGGAUCGGAGUAUCGAACCUCUCUUGAAUCAAAUCAAGCAAAACAAAAC